GGGAAGAGCCCAAACCAACAAGCUUGCUUGUUGGGGUUGUAGGACUCCAAUAUGGUAGUCUGUUAGUAUAGUUGAAGGAUUUGGAAAAUUCCGCUAAAGAGGGUGAAAGCCCCGUAGACGAAAUGCUAACAACACCUAGGAGGAUCCUGAGUACGGCGGAACACGAGAAAUUCCGUCGGAAUCCGCGGGGACCAUCCCGCAAGGCUAAAUACUCCCUAGUGACCGAUAGUGAACCAGUACCGUGAGGGAAAGGUGA
rnacentral:rRNA from 1 species